GCCGGCGUGGCGGAACUGGCAGACGCGCGCGACUCAAAAUCGCGUGGUACUUGGUACCGUGUGGGUUCAAUUCCCUCCGCCGGCA
rnacentral:tRNA from 1 species